UUUCUUUGCACCAAAUCAUCCCAAGAAAAAGAGGCAAGAAAUCAGGGCGAAGCAAACAAAGAGAAGAAGAGGAUGAAGAUCUGGUGAUUAGAGGUGGCAGGAAGGAUUAAGAUGGCUCAAGUUAGUCUAUUCCGUUUUUGUUGUAGUUUUUUUUUUUUUUAACCCGGAUAAUGAUGACUCCGUUGCGGUGACUGGCGUGAAGAUUUGGUGAUUGGAUAUGGCAGGAAGGAAUACAAGGAUUAAGAUGGCUCAGGCACUGAGCAGCAGUGACCGGCGUGAAGGACAGUAGAUGGAGAAGGCGUGGAUGGUGGGUGGAGAAAGCCUGGGAAAACAGAGAUGAACCAGAGGUGGAUGAGAGUUUGAUGUUAGAUGAAGGAGAGAGUUUGAUGUUAGGGAUGAUGAAUUACAAGGAUAAAUGAGUAGAUUUGUAAUUAAUUCCAACCAGCUGAAGAACAAACGCUAUCCUCACCAGCGUUUCAGUUUUUAGCUGAUUGGCUCAAUCAGCCAAUGUCAAUCGAUUAUUUACCUAACACUCCAAAACAGCUUAUUGAUAAGUCAAACAGCUAAAUUUGGUC